CCCACAUUCCCGAGUGGAAGGAGUGUGGCUUAACGGAUAAAAGCUACCCCGGGGAUAACAGGCUGAUCCUGCCCAAGAGUUCACAUCGACGGCAGGGUUUGGCACCUCGAUGUCGGCUCGUCGCAUCCUGGGGCUGGAGUAGGUCCCAAGGGUUGGGCUGUUCGCCCAUGAAAGCGGCACGCGAGCUGGGUUCAGAACGUCGCGAGACAGUUCGGUCUCUAUCCGUCGUGGGCGCAGGAAGAUUGAGGGGAGUCAUCUUCAGUACGAGAGGACCGAGAUGGCUUGACCGCUGGUGCGUCAGUUGGCCUGCCCGGGCCAGAGCUGAGUAGCUACGUCAAGAAAGGAGAAGCGCUGAAAGCAUCUAAGCGCGAAGCCGACCCCAAGAAGAGUCUUCCCGCUCUCUCUGAGAGGAGGGAGCCAAGACCCCAGAAAGAAGAUCUGGUAGAUAGACCGUGCGUGGACGUCUGGUAACAGGCGAAGCGGAACGGGACUAAUGGUCGAACGGCUUGUUGA
rnacentral:rRNA from 1 species